rnacentral:rRNA from 1 species
GCGGAUGCUUACCAUGCAAGUCGGACGGGCGUGGGGGCUUCGGCCUUUGCGUCAGUGGCGGACGGGUGAGUAACGCGUAGGGAUCUGUCUUUGGGUGGGGGAUAACCGUGGGAAACUACGGCUAAGACCGCAUGAAGCCUGAGGGCCAAAGCCUCUCGUGAGGGGGGUGCCUGGAGAGGAGCCUGCGUCCGAUUAGCUGGUUGGUGGGGUAACGGCCUACCAAGGCGAUGAUCGGUAGCUGGUCUGAGAGGAUGGCCAGCCACACUGGGACUGAGACACGGCCCAGACUCCUACGGGAGGCAGCAGUGGGGAAUAUUGGGCAAUGGGCGCAAGCCUGACCCAGCAAUGCCGCGUGGGUGAAGAAGGUCUUCGGAUUGUAAAGCCCUUUCGGCGGGGACGAUGAUGACGGUACCCGCAGAAGAAGCCCCGGCUAACUUCGUGCCAGCAGCCGCGGUAAU